GUACUUGCUUCGGCGCUACAUAUGCCAAAAUUGGAACGAUACACAGAAGAUCAGCAUGGCCCCUGAGCAAGGAUGACAUGCAAAAUCGUUAGGUUAUCCGUUUUUUA